GACGUAGGGCGCGAGCGUUGUCCGGAUUUAUUGGGCGUAAAGAGCUCGUAGGCGGCUUGUUGCGUCGACUGUGAAAACCCGCGGCUCAACCGUGUGGCUUGCAGUCGAUACGGGCAGGCUAGAAUUCGGUAGGGGAGACUGGAAUUCCUGUGUAGCGGUGAAAUGCGCAGAUAUCAGGAGGAACACCGGUGGCGAAGGCGGGACUCUGGGCCGAUAUCGAUGACGCUGAGGAGCGAAAGCGUGGGGAGCAAACAGGAU
rnacentral:rRNA from 1 species